UACGGAGGGUGCAAGCGUUGUUCGGAUUUACUGGGCGUAAAGGGCGCGUAGGCGGUCUUAUAAGUCAGAUGUGAAAGCCCACGGCUCAACCGUGGAAGUGCAUCUGAAACUGUGAGACUUGAGUAUGGGAGAGGAAAGUGGAAUUCCCGGUGUAGAGGUGAAAUUCGUAGAUAUCGGGAGGAAUACCGGUGGCGAAGGCGACUUUCUGGACCAAUACUGACGCUGAGGCGCGAAAGCGUGGGUAGCAAACAGG
rnacentral:rRNA from 1 species